rnacentral:rRNA from 1 species
UGACCUCAAAUCAGGUAGGACUACCCGCUGAACUUAAGCAUAUCAAUAAGCGGAGGAAAAGAAACUAACAAGGAUUCCCCUAGUAACUGCGAGUGAAGAGGGAAAAGCUCAAAUUUAAAAUCUGGCAGCCUCGCUGUCCGAGUGUAAUUAGAGAAG